AGCACAUUUGUGCAAGAGUUGCCACUUUGUGAAAUUGGUAUAUGAAUAAGAAGAUAGAGUUUGUUGUGUGUAGUAAAAUGAGUUAUGUUUGCAGUUUGAGGAGGUGUCGAAAGAUGAGGUGGCCGAAGAGUUUUGAGGAUGGAGGGACGUGUGGAGGCGAAAGUAAACGUGUUGUAAUAUGGUGGUUGUGUGAAGGAGUUGUUAUUUUUCAGGCUUGAGAUGUGGCGGCAAGUGCAGAAAGGCUAUUAUUACCUGUAUGGUGCAGACUAAGCAAGUGGAAGUGUGGUAGCCAUCGCGAGGCGCCUUGUGCAGUAUCUCGUUGUCGGUAAUGUACGGUGGUGGAAGUGAUAUGAAAAUGAAGAGCGUCUUGGGUUGUUGUUAAUAACGUGUAAGUUUUGUGUUUGUAAUAAUUGUUUUGUAUAUAUCGUACAGGAGGAGUUGUUGGCGUCCAUAAGAUGUGAUUGGUGGUGGAGAGGGAGAUUAACGCUGGACUGAAUUUUGGAGCCAGUUUUGGUGUAAGUAUUGUGGUGCGUGGAGGAAGACUGGGUAAUUGAAAUUGCAUUUAUAUUGUGUAAUAAUUUGAAGAGUAGAGUAUUUGCAACAUUGAUGUGUUUUUUUUGUUUUUUCAUGGUGGUGGUGGCGGAAUAUGGCCGACUCGUUGAGAGGAGCGCGUCGACUCGUCAUACGGUGAUGUUAAAUUUUGUCACGUAUUAGUGAAAUUGGAAGAGUUGUAGGUGAAGUUUUUGUCGAUGAAAUGUGUUGUUACGAGUCCGUGGGAAAUAGGUAGGAAGUCUGUAUGAGAGGUUUACAUUGAUAGCGUAGUUAUGGUAGGGAUUGUGUGUUGAGGGCUAUGAGACUAUUGAUUGCAUUUGGGUUGGCAAAAGUGUGUGGUUUUGACUUGACAUGGGCAAGGGGAGAGUAAAUUGAGGUAAUACUUGGGGCCGUGUGAAAAGUAAGUGAUGUUGCCACGGAGCGUAGGACGACAUUUGUGCAAGAGUUGCCGUAAUAGAGAAUUGCCUAAGUGGAUUAUGACUAGUUUUUGUCUGAAAAUAUGUUUGCAGGUAUGUUUUGUGGUAGGGACUAGGACUACUACUACUACUACUGCUGGAGGUAGAUAAGGUGUAUAAGCACGUGCGGGGUCCAGUCGUUAUUUGAAGGUGGCGGAUGCUCGUCCGACAGUCGAAGAAAGCGCAGUGUUGUGAUUGCACCGAGUGUGAGGACCAACAAUGGAGGAGCCGAGGAAGAAGAUUUUGGAAAAGGAGUGAGAGACGUGACGAAGCAGCCGAUGAGGAUAAAAGGAAUGGAUGCGGCGUAACCGGGUCGCAGAAAGGGCGGAGGUACGGCAGAGCAGCCGAGGCGGAAAACGAGAGGCGCGUUUCGUCGGACGAAGUAUAACGUACGGGAAGGAGCCGACGUAGUACGAACGAUUGCCGGAGCAUCGGCCGUAGAGACGAGAGGCACGGGAGUCGGACCGGCAGAAGCCCGUCGACGCAGCGGGCACGAGAGGGCGUCGGCGACGACGGGGAAAGGUUCUGCGAAGAGAGCUGGCAAGUCCGAGGAUAUCGUAGGUAUUAUUUACUGUAUGGAUACGAGAUUUGCCUUUUCCAAGACGACUAAAGGCCAUCCAUUUGCAGGAGCGGUUUGUUUAUAAUAACCUGUGUGGGUAUGUCGUUUUGAUCCUCAGGUACCGGUCGUAGGGACCCGGUCGUCGCUCCCGAGCGGAAGUGGGUAAUGCGACACGAAUUAUUGUGCAGAGGGGGAGUUUUGUGGCGUCCCCCAGAAGCGGGCGAAGAACGGAUACCCGUGGCGAAGCCUCGAGAAGAAGGAGUUCCAGUUUGCAGUUUGAGGAGGUGUCGAAAGAUGAGGUGGCCGAAGAGUUUGGAGGAUUACUGGUGGGCUUGAGGAGAUGUGGUGGCAAGUGCAUAAAGGCUAUUAUUACCUGUAUGGUGCAGACUAAGCAAUUGGAAGUAUGGUAGCCAUCCAGAGGUGGGGGAGAAGCGUUUGAUGUUUGAAAGGAGGCCAGUGUUGUAACGAUGCGGCCCAUGCACCAUCUCUUAAAAGGAGGUGUUGCCGUCCAUAAGACGUGGUUGGUGUUGGAGAUGGAGAUUAACGCUGGACUGAGUUUUGGAGGCAGUUUUGGUGUAAGUAUUGUAGUGCCUGAAAGAAGACUCUGUAAUUGAAUGUGUAUUUAUACUGUGUAAUAAUUUAAAGAGUAUAGUAUUUGUAACAUUGAUGUUUUUUUUCAUGUUGGUGGCGGCGGAAUAUGGCCGACUUGUUGAGAGGAGCAGGUCGGGUCGAUUCGUCAUACGGUGAUGUUAAAUUUUGUUACGUAUUAUUGGAAGAGUUGUAGGUGAAGUUUGGUGUUGUUGAUGAAAUGUGUUGUUAAGAUCCCAUGGUAAGAAGUGUGGCGGAAAUGGGUAGGAAGCAUACAUUGCUAUUGUAAUUAUGGUAGGGACUGUUGCUUGGUCAGAGAUUAGAGUGGCGGUUAUAUUUGAGACGGGUAAGGGGUGAGUAAAAUGAGGUGGGGAAAGGUACAUAGUUGGGGAUGUUUGAGAAAUAAGUGAGGUUGCAACAUUGAUUUUUUUUUUAUGUUGGUGGUGGCGGAAUAUGGGCGACUCGUUGAGAGGAGUGUGUCGACUCGUCAUACGGUGAUGUUAAAUUUUGUCACGUAUUAGUGAAAUUGGAAGAGUUGUAGGUGAAGUUUUUUGUGGAUGAAAUGUGUUGUUACGAGUCUGUGGAAAAUGGGUAGGAAGUCUGUAUGAGAGCUUUACAUUGAUAGUGUAGUUAUGGUAGGGAUUGUUUAUUGAGGGCUAUGAGACUAUUGAUUGCAUUUGGGUUGGGAAAAGUGUGUGGUUUUGACUUGACAUGGGCAAGGGGAGAGUAAAUUGAGGUAAUACUUGGGGCCGUGUGAAAAGUAAGUGAUUUUGCCACGGAGCGUAGGACGACAUUUGUGCAAGAGUUGCCGUAAUAGAGAAUUGCCUAAGUGGAUUGAGAUUAGUUGUUGUUUGAAAAUAUGUUUGCAGGUAUGUUUUGUGGUAGAGACUAGGACUACUACUACUGUUGGAGGUAGAUGAGGUGUAUAAGCACGUGUGGGGGCCAGUCGUUAUUUGAAGGUGGCGGAUGCUCGUCCGACAGUUAAAGAAAGCGCAGAGUGUUGCGAUUGCACCGAGUGUGAGGACCAACAAUGGAGGAGCCGAGGAAGAAGAUUUUGGAAAAGGAGUGAGAGACGUGACGAAGCAGCCGAUGAGGAUAAAAGGAAUGGAUGCGGCGUAACCUGGUCGCAGAAAGGGCGGAGGUACGGCAGAGCAGCCGAGGUGGAAAACGAGAGGCGCGUUUCGUCGGACGAAGUAUAACGUAUGGGAAGGAGCCGACGUACUAUUAACGAUUGCCGGAGCAUCGGCCGUAGACAAGAGAGGUGCGGGAGUCGGACCAGCAGAAGCACGUCGAUUCAGGGGGCACGAGAGGGCGUCGGCGACGACGGGGAAAGGCUCUGCGAUGAGAGCCGGCAAGUCCGAGGAUAUUGUAGGUAUUACUUACCAUAUGGAUACGAGAUUUGCAUUUUCCAAGACGACUAAAGGCCAUCCAUUUGCAGGAGUGGUUUGUUUAUAAUAACCUGUGUGGGUAUGUCGUUUUGAUCCUCAGGUACCGGUCGUCGUUCCCGAGUCGAAGAGGGUAAUGUGUCACGAAUUAUUGUGCAGAGGGGGAGUUGUGUGGCGUCACCCAGAAGGGGGCGAAGAACAGAUCCCAGUGGUGAAGUUUCGAGAAGGAGUGCCAUCGACUCGGGAAGAAGCGGUACGGGGCUACUCUGCAGCAUGGGUAAUAUAUUUGAUGGAAGAGGCCAUUGUGACGUUCAUCCUUAGUGGGAGAGUGCAAAAAUUGGAAAUUGUUAAAUGUUUUAUCUUUUUCAGAUCGAAGGAAGGGGGCUAACUCGCCGUCGAGGACGACGCGUAGACGCGACCGGCGUACUGAGAAGAUGUCGUUUGAAUGCACAGCUGCUGUCCCCGGGGUGUACGGUGCCGAGAAUACGUCGGGUCUGCGAUUGGGGCGGAGAAGACGUCCAUAGCAGUCGUCCCUUUGACUGGGGUGUACGGAGCCUUGAAGAAGAUGUCCCGUGAGCGUGUAGCUGUCGUCCCUGUGACGGGUGUAUGGAGCGGACAAGAAGAUGUCCUUUGAACGUGUAGCCGAGGAGAAGACAUUGUAGUGGACGUCUCCCUUACAAACUGCGUAGCUUCACAUCACCUGCUACCGUUUUCCCUAGCAACCAAGUGUAUCCGCAUUCCAAUGCCCGCCGUAUCCUAGCAACCGAGCCAAAAGGUCGGCGACUUCUUGGGUUUUCCCAACACGACUCAUAGAGGCUGCUGGAUAUAUAAGCUCUGUCUCUCCUUUGAGAUUCAGUCUGACCAAUGUUCUCGAACAAGCAACACCUCUUCCGCCGCUGC